UUACCUUUGUUUAAUCGAAUAUUUGUUACAAAAAUUUGUUUAAACAAAACAAUCUUACGUUUAGUUGAAUCGUUUUGUUGCUUUUAUUUACGACUUUAUCGAUAUAUUUAAACUAAGGUGUCAUAUGAUAUUCUUGCAUACAAAUUGCAUUAUUAUCUGUAUUUUACAGUGGAAAAAAACAACACUCCUUCAUAAAGCUUGCAAUAAACGAUACUGUCAAACUCUAAAAAUCAGACCUUUCAGAUUAUAAGAUAAAUGUCACUUAUCAAACUAUAAUUGCUCUUAUUUGAUUGGUAGUUGCGCUAUAAAACUCAGUAAAUAUUUCUGCAUUCGAAUUAACGUCAGACAAUUUAGUGAUUGACAUUUUGUGACCCAAAAAUUAAAUGCUUCGCACUUGUGGGUUUUUUUGAGACUGAACAACGGAUUAUUAUUUUUGUUGUUUGACCAAUAUUAAAAGGAUAUAAAUAUGUCGUCUUUGUAGAAGUUAUAGCAAUCGUUCUUGAUUUCUACAACGAGAAAGUCUUGACACCGAGAGAAAUAUUGCUGAGCUACAAGCUGAUAUAACAAAUAGCAGACAUCGUGCAUGCACCUAGAAAAUUAUAUGCUUUGAUUUCUGUGUUUGAAAAGCAAGAUGAACAAUCAAUCAUCGAAGUACGGACCAGCAAGUUCAUCAUCAUUAACUCGUGCCCAAACGUGGGCAUCAUUCGUGCCAAUACAGAAUACCCAGAAACCUUCGGAACAAGAAAUUUCUAACAUGAUACAAGCGAAGAUUGUUGAAGCUUUUAGCAAGCCGGGUGAAUCAAAUCCAUUGAAAAGGCGUUAUGACGAAAUUUCUAAGAAGAAGAAAUGAAUAUUGUAAUUAUUUUUACUCCCAUGAAAUGUAUUACUUCACGCCAUAAUUUAUAUUUUGCUGACAAUAACUUUUUAUGAUCAUAUUUAUGUCUUUGUAAUCAAGUUCAUUGCUACCAAUUAUGGAACAAUAAAGGACCAUUAUUCUUUCUAAGUUUGGUUUCAAUUUAAGACACAGUAAAAGUAAUAAAAAUCCUUAUUGACCAAAAGAUAGAAUAAUUAAUUCCAAUUGCACUAAGUCAACUGUUGCCCCUCGUAUCUAGUAUUACUAGAUGUGAAGGAUCUCUCCCUAGGCAAAAUUCCUUUCUUUGUAAAUAGAGCGCCAGCAUCAUCAUUUCUGGUCAAACGAAUUAGAAGCUGCAGCAAAUUGAAAGGACCUAGAACUACUAGUCAUAUGUCAAACUAUAAGAAUGUCAAAACAUUGCAAGCAUUAAUGUUUUUCCAUAUUUUUUAGCAAAAAUUUCUGAGAAUUGGCCUUCAUGCCAUCAAUUAUCACGAAAAUUGCAGUCUUAAUGACAAAAAACUCUACCAGCAUUUGCCAAACAAAAACACUUUAUUUUCAGGCAUCAUAACGUUGAAAGGUUAUGAACACUUGUCCAAUUACUGAAAUGACAAAUGAAAACAAGGCAAUAAAAGUGCUAUAAAAUACUGGGUAUUUAAGAUGGUGCUACUUCACAUAUUGCCAGUCGUAUA